rnacentral:rRNA from 1 species
AUUGAACGCUGGCGGAAUGCUUUACACAUGCAAGUCGAGCGGCAGCGCGGGGCAACCUGGCGGCGAGCGGCGAACGGGUGAGUAACAUAUCGGAACGUGCCCAUUGGUGGGGGAUAACACAUCGAAAGAUGUGCUAAUACCGCAUAAGACCUGAGGGUGAAAGGGGGGGAUCGCAAGACCUCUCGCCGUUGGAGCGGGCGAUAUCGGAUUAGCUAGUUGGUGGGGUAAAGGCUCACCAAGGCGACGAUCCGUAGCUGGUCUGAGAGGAUGAUCAGCCACACUGGAACUGAGACACGGUCCAGACUCCUACGGGAGGCAGCAGUGGGGAAUUUUGGACAAUGGGGGCAACCCUGAUCCAGCCAUUCCGCGUGAGUGAAGAAGGCCUUCGGGUUGUAAAGCUCUUUCGGCAGGAACGAAACGGUUUGGGCUAAUACCCUGAGCUAAUGACGGUACCUGAAGAAGAAGCACCGGCUAACUACGUGCCAGCAGCCGCCGCCG